GGGCCCGUAGUUCACCCGGUAGAACAUCGCAUUUGCAAUGCGGAGGUAGGCGGUUCGAGUCCGCCCGGGUCCACCA
rnacentral:tRNA from 1 species